rnacentral:rRNA from 1 species
UACGGGGGGGGCAAGCGUUGUUCGGAAUUACUGGGCGUAAAGGGCUCGUAGGCGGCCAACUAAGUCGGAUGUGAAAUCCCCAGGCUUAACCUGGGAACUGCAUCCGAUACUGGAUGGCUUGAAUCCGGGAGAGGGAUGUGGAAUUCCAGGUGUAGCGGUGAAAUGCGUAGAUAUCUGGAGGAACACCGGUGGCGAAGGCGACAUCCUGGACCGGUAUUGACGCUGAGGCGCGAAAGCCAGGGGAGCAAACGGG